AUUGAACGCUGGCGGCAUGCCUUACACAUGCAAGUCGAACGGCAGCACGGGGGCAACCCUGGUGGCGAGUGGCGAACGGGUGAGUAAUACAUCGGAACGUGUCCUGUCGUGGGGGAUAACCAGUCGAAAGACUGGCUAAUACCGCAUGAGAUCGAGAGAUGAAAGCAGGGGACCCGGGGGCAACCUCAGGCCUUGCGCGAUUGGAGCGGCCGAUGUCGGAUUAGCUUGUUGGCGGGGUAAAAGCCCACCAAGGCGACGAUCCGUAGCUGGUUUGAGAGAACGACCAGCCACACUGGGACUGAGACACGGCCCAGACUCCUACGGGAGGCAGCAGUGGGGAAUUUUGGACAAUGGGGGCAACCCUGAUCCAGCCGUGCCGCGUGUGUGAAGAAGG
rnacentral:rRNA from 1 species